CAUUGCAGUGUAAAACCAACAUGCCUUAAGCUUUGCUGUCCCAUGUGGGUGACUCUCACAGCACAGUGGCAUGCUGAGACCUUCACUUUCUGACCUGCAGAUGAACUUGUAACAUCGCUGCUUCUCUUGCUGCAGUAAGGCCAAGGAGGAUGGAGGGCAUGGCCAGCUCCAAGAGUCUUUCCUGAGUCUCCCCAAGGCAGGAAAAGAGCUUCAGUCCUAAAGGAUGAAAGCAGCAGUUUAUCCCUGAAGAUGUUGUCCAGCACAAAAUCAAGACUCUUCCUGACACACUGCCUUAUUACAUCUUAUUUUGGUGGCCAGGAGGUGGAUUCUUCUGUGGGUAGAAUUAGCUUCAGCAGAGGAAGGAAAUAUUUUUAACAGAACAGUAAGUAAGAAACUUAGGUUGUCUCUUCUGCUCCCUGGUACUUGAUACAACUCAGGGUUACAAAUGUUUGCCAGGCCAGAAAUCAGCAAUUUGUCACUGUCUGGAGUGUAAGUUGUGUGUUCCUGUAGAUGCUACUUUUAUAGCUGCACCAGAUAAAACAAUAUUCAUCAAAUUGCCCAAAGAGAUCAACUGAAAUGAGCACCUGUCCCUAGAAAACACAGCUCUCUUCUUUAAAAAAAAAAAUAUAUAUAUUUUAUUAUUAUUAUUAUUAUUAUUUUUAACAGCAGACAGAGCCUCUUUAAUUUCCUAAAAGCCACCACUUGCCUCCUUUACUUUCCUAUACCAACUCAACCUUUAAAACUUGAGGAAGAUUGAGAUUAAGUAAACCGUAGAUAUUUAAACUUUAAGCUCUAUUUUCAGUUUUUGCUCACAUGAAAAAGAGCCAGAUAGUCAAAGAAUUAUGUUAUUAUUAGCAGGUUUUUUGCUAUGAAGAAACUGAUGCACUGUGGUAAUAGGCAGCAGUAUGGGAAAGCAAGGCUGAGUUAAAUACAUUUGGGAUGUUACUGGCGUGGGAGCACUGCACCUCCAUCUCAUGCUUCUCAGCAACUGGAAGCACCUGGGCAGGCAGCUCUUACCUGGGCACGGUGGGAAGAAGACACCCCAAAAGGGUCAUCUUCGGAGCAGGUGCCCCCCAGAGAAGGAGAGGCUGAGUGGUCUUCAAGAUCGAGGAGCGUGUGGCAUUUCAGGCGAGAUGCAAAAUGACGUUCCUGUGAAAGCAGAAAUUCCAGCUGCCAAACCACAUGCUCCUCUACACAGUAAGGAGAAUCAAAACAUGUAUAUGCUCAUGGAGCAAAAUUGCUGUGUUUUCAUCCCAAUAAAUCUUCACACAGCCCAUAAAGAGGGAUGUGCCUCCCUCUGUGAGCACCCUUUAUUUCCUGCAACCAUGAAAUAA
rnacentral:lncRNA from 1 species